rnacentral:rRNA from 1 species
AGUGAACGCUGGCGGUAGGCCUAACACAUGCAAGUCGAACGGCAGCACAGUAAGAGCUUGCUCUUACGGGUGGCGAGUGGCGGACGGGUGAGGAAUACAUCGGAAUCUACUUUUUCGUGGGGGAUAACGUAGGGAAACUUACGCUAAUACCGCAUACGACCUACGGGUGAAAGCAGGGGAUCUUCGGACCUUGCGCGAUUGAAUGAGCCGAUGUCGGAUUAGCUAGUUGGCAAGGUAAAGGCGCACCAAGGCGACGAUCCGUAGCUGGUCUGAGAGGAUGAUAGGACACACUGGAACUGAGACACGGUCCAGACUCCGACGGGAGGCAGCAGUAGGGAAUCUGCCGCAAUGGGCGAAAGCCUGACGGAGCAACGCCGCGUGAGUGAUGAAGGUCUGCGGAUCGUAAAACUCUGUUAUUAGGGAAGAACAUAUGUGUAAGUAACUGUGCACAUCUUGACGGUACCUAAUCAGAAAGCCACGGCUAACUACGUG